rnacentral:rRNA from 1 species
AUUGAACGCUGGCGGCAGGCCUAACACAUGCAAGUCGAGCGGAUGAAGGCAGCUUGCUCCUGGUUUCAGCGGCGCACGGGUGAGUAAUGCCUAUGAAUCUGCCUGGUAUGGCUGUGUAACGUCCUGAGACGGGUGCUAAUACCACAUACGUCCUGAUGGUGAUAGAGGGGGAGCUUCGGACCUUACCGUCUCAGAGGAGCCUAGGUGCGGUUAGCUAGUUUGUUGGGUAAUGGGCUACCAAGGCGACGAUCCGUAACUGGUCGGAGAGGAUGAUCAGUCACACGGGAACUGAGACAGCGACCAGACUCCUACGAGAGGCAGCAGUGGGGAAUAUUGGACAAUGGGCGGAAGCCUGAUCCAGCCAUGCCGAGUGUGUGAAGAAGGUCUUCGGAUUGUAAAGAACUUUAAGGUGGGAGGAAGGGCAGUAAGUUAAUACCUUGCUGUUUUGACGUUACCAAGAGAAUAAGCACCGGCUAACUUCGUG